rnacentral:rRNA from 1 species
GACGAACGCUGGCGGCGUGCUUAACACAUGCAAGUCGAACGAUGAAGCUGGAGCUUGCUCCGGUGGAUUAGUGGCGAACGGGUGAGUAACACGUGAGCAAUCUGCCCUUGACUCUGGGAUAACUGCGGGAAACUGUAGCUAAUACCGGAUACGACACCUUGGGGCAUCCCGAGGUGUGGAAAGAAUUUCGGUCAAGGAUGAGCUCGCGGCCUAUCAGCUAGUUGAUGAGGUGAUGGCUCACCAAGGCGACGACGGGUAGCCGGCCUGAGAGGGUGACCGGCCACACUGGAACUGAGAUACGGUCCAGACUCCUACGGGAGGCAGCAGUGGGGAAUAUUGCACAAUGGGCGCAAGCCUGAUGCAGCAACGCCGCGUGAGGGAUGAAGGCCUUCGGGUUGUAACCUCUUUAGUCAGGGAAGAAGCGAAAGUGACGGUACCUGCAGAAAAAGACACCGGCUAACUACGUAGCCAGCAG